rnacentral:rRNA from 1 species
CCUUCGGGUAAUGAGGAUGGCGGACGGGUGAGUAACGCGUAAGGAACUUGCCUCUUGGUCUGGGACAACUGUUGGAAACGACAGCUAAUACCGGAUAUUAUGAGAUUCUCGCAUGGGAAGCUUAUGAAAGCUAUAUGCGCCAAGAGAGAGCCUUGCGUUCCAUUAGCUAGUUGGUGGGGUAACGGCCCACCAAGGCGACGAUGGAUAGCCGGCCUGAGAGGGUGAACGGCCACAAGGGGACUGAGACACGGCCCUUACUCCUGCGGGAGGCAGCAGUGGGGAAUAUUGGACAAUGGGCCACAAGCCUGAUCCAGCAAUUCUGUGUGCACGAUGAAGGUCUUCGGAUUGUAAAGUGCUUUCAGUUGGGAAGAAGAAAGUGACGGUACCAACAGAAGAAGCGACGGCUAAAUACGUGCCAGCAGCCGCGGUAAUACGUAUGUCGCAAGCGUUAUCCGGAUUUAUUGGGCGUAAAGCGCGUCUAGGCGGAAAAAUAAGUCUGAUGUUAAAAUGCGGGGCUCAACUCCGUAUUGCGUUGGAAACUGUUUUUCUAGAGUACUGGAGAGGUGGGCGGAACUACAAGUGUAGAGGUGAAAUUCGUAGAUAUUUGUAGGAAUGCCGAUGGAGAAGUCAGCUCACUGGACAGAUACUGACGCUGAAGCGCGAAAGCGUGGGGAGCAAACAGGAUUAGAUACCCUGGUAGUCCACGCCGUAAACGAUGAUCACU